AUUAUUAAUAUUAUUAUUUUUAGUAUGUUUAAUAAUUUUAAUAUCUAGUUUUAUUUCUGCAUUUUUCAGACGAAAUGAGUAACAAAGAAACCCCACUAAGUACCAUGCAGCAUACUAGGUACGGCUCAGUCUCCUCUCCUGGUUGCUGAUAUCCUCCUUGUUCUCCUCAUUAUCCUUCCUCAUGUCUUUGACUAUCAGGAUCGGAAGAGGAUAAUGGACCGUCGGAAGAUCCAAAAGAAGAUGCAUCCCAAUGUGAGUUUGAAUAUUGCUUUAUUGCAAAAGUGGCGAUAGAUUUUACAAAAACUGAUAUUGCCAACCUUAUCCCUCAAGAUCCUGAAGUUCAAA